rnacentral:rRNA from 1 species
CUUGACAUAUAUCGGAACAUCCAGAGAUGGGUGCCCCUUUUAGGUCGGUAUACAGGUGGUGCAUGGUUGUCGUCAGCUCGUGUCGUGAGAUGUUGGGUUAAGUCCCGCAACGAGCGCAACCCUCGUUCUAUGUUGCCAGCACGUUAUGGUGGGGACUCUUGGACGACUGCCGGGGUCAACUCGGAGGAAGGUGGGGAUGACGUCAAAUCAUCAUGCCCCUUAUGUCUUGGGCUUCACGCAUGCUACAAUGGCCGGUACAAGGGCUGCGAAACCGUAAGGUGGAGCGAAUCCCAAAAAACCGGUCUCAGUUCGGAUUGGGGUCUGCUACUCGACCCCGUGAAGUCGG